UAAUACGGAAGGGGCAAGCGUUGUUCGGAAUUAUUGGGCGUAAAGGGCGCGUAGGUGGUUCUGUGUGUCUACUGUGAAAGCGUACAGCUCAACUGUAUUUUGUCGGUAGAAACUGCAGGACUUGAGGCUGGGAGGGGCUGGUGGAAUUCCCUGUGUAGCGGUGAAAUGCGUAGAGAUGGGGGAGAACACUCGUGGCGAAGGCGGCCAGCUAGACCAGUUCUGACAC
rnacentral:rRNA from 1 species